UACAGAGGGGGCAAGCGUUGUUCGGAAUUACUGGGCGUAAAGGGCGCGUAGGCGGCCUUCUAAGUCGAACGUGAAAUCCCCGGGCUCAACCCGGGAACUGCGUCCGAUACUGGAAGGCUUGAAUCCGGGAGAGGGAUGCGGAAUUCCAGGUGUAGCGGUGAAAUGCGUAGAUAUCUGGAGGAACACCAAUGGCGAAGGCAGCUCGCUGGGACGGUACUGACGCUGAGACGCGAAAGCGUGGGGAGCAAACAGG
rnacentral:rRNA from 1 species